rnacentral:rRNA from 1 species
UACGGGGGGGGCAAGCGUUGUUCGGAAUUACUGGGCGUAAAGAGUGUGUAGGCGGUGCUCUAAGUUCGGUGUGAAAUCUCCCGGCUUAACUGGGAGGGUGCGCCGGAAACUGGAGUGCUCGAGCGUGGGAGAGGAAAGCGGAAUUCCUGGUGUAGCGGUGAAAUGCGUAGAUAUCAGGAGGAACACCGGUGGUGUAGACGGCUUUCUGGACCAUAGCUGACGCUGAGACACGAAAGCGUGGGUAGCAAACAGG